GUAGGAGUUGGUGCUAUCAGUGGGUCUCUGCUUACAGGACCUCUCACUGGCAAGAUCUAACUAAAAUACGGCUGGCAAUAAAAAUUUGGAAAGGUAAUCUGUGCGGUAUCAGAAACCUACAACACAUAAAAGAAGAACACAGGACAGAAAUCGACGCUGAAGGCAAGGAGGCAGGCAACUGCACCCCUGCUUCCUGAGCCACCUGGGACUUGAAGUUCUACCACUGUGGCUCCAAAGCUGCCCAACUAGAAACCCCAAAAGGCAAGAGAACUACGAUACCCACAAUUCAGGCUCCUCACCCGAAACCAGAAGAGGGCGUAUGGCUAGAGUUUCACCCUAAGAAGAAAGGGGAAGCAGGUGGAAAAGCAAUUAAAAAAAAAUCAGAUUCUCUUUCGGUGAUUCAGAGCUGAAGGUGCCUCACUGCCCUGUGGAACAGGUGAAUAAAGCCUUCCCAGCAUCUCUCUCUAGCCUAUUAUCUCCUGUUAGACACAGCCCAGAAAAUGAAUAGAGACAAGUCCUGGCUGGGUCUGGGUUCAGAAACAUAAUAGAAGGAUUCAUCUAAUCUGUCGGCCACUGUGGAGGAAGUGAACCUUCUAGAUCCUGCUGACUCAUACAAUGAGUUUUGUGUGGACCAUCAGACAAAAGGGCUGGCUGGUGAAGGUGGCUGUUGUCUGGAAAUUCCUCCCAGCUCUCCUCUAAUUAUGUCAUAAGGACUGGAGGCCCCUUAGCCUGCUUGUGAUAACACGCAAGGAAAUAUGGGCCAACUCUUCACAUGAACACAAGAUAUUUCCAUGCUAGCCUUUUGCAAGUAACAACAGAGAGAGCUCUGUGCAGUUUUCACUGGAAUGCCUGUGGAUUGCUUGUGUCAUAACUGUAAUCUAAAGAGUUGUCCAUUUGUUGAUUCCUUUGUAUUUGUAUUGGUAGAAUUGCCACUAUCAAACCAAGAUCUUUAGCUGCCUUUGUAUCAACUUCUUUGGAGCUUAUGUGAUUUUCCAGAAAAUUUCCAAGGCAUAGUUUUGUCCCUAAGUCCCAUGAAUAUGUAAUAUUUUGUGUCUCUCUAUUAAAAUAGCACUUUUUGUGCAUUCCAUUAACAAA
rnacentral:lncRNA from 1 species